GAUUAACGCUAGCGGCAGGCAUAAUACAUGCAAGUUGAACGGCAGCACAGGUAGCAAUACUGGGUGGCGAGUGGCGCACGGGUGCGUAACACGUAUGCAACCUACCCUAUACAGGCGAAUAACCUUUAGAAAUGAGGGCUAAUACGCCGUAGUAUUACAGAUGGGCAUCUAUUUGUAAUUAAAGAUUUAUCGGUAUAGGAUGGGCAUGCGUCCCAUUAGUUAGUUGGUAAGGUAACGGCUUACCAAGACGAUGAUGGGUAGGGGAUCUGAGAGGACUUACCCCCACACUGGUACUGAGACACGGACCAGACUCCUACGGGAGGCAGCAGUAAGGAAUAUUGGGCAAUGGCCGCGAGGCUGACCCAGCCAUGCCGCGUGCAGGAAGACGGCCUUAUGGGUUGUAAACUGCUUUUAUACGGGAAUAAUAGAGUGUACGCGUACAUCUAUGCAAGUAGCGUAUGAAUAAGCAUCGGCUAACUCCGUG
rnacentral:rRNA from 1 species